AUCUAAUCUUUUCUAAUCUAAGACGAUCAUUGAUGCUGAAGUUUUUGUUUAGAUGUUUCUUUAGCAGUCUUUUAGAUCUGUCUUUACUGGUAGCUUCAGUUUUAUAGGUUACAUCUUUAUGACAGCUGGUGAUGGUGCUCAUGGGAAAUGCAGUCCCCAUCCCGCAGAACCAUUUUCAAGUUUUGGUGAAAAGAGUUAAUCUCCUCACAGCAACUUUGAGAGGUUAUUUGAUAACCCCCACUCCAAGCUGAAUGCCAAAUGUGAACACCGUCUUAUACAAUUUUUUCAUACAAUGAAAAAUGUUUCAGAAAAUGAUUGUGUCAGAUUGGAGGUAGUCUAAUCCUCCACAGAUCGCUCUGGUAAAUGUUUCCUUGGACCUGGUGUUUUGAUAUCUGUAAAUGGCACAAAGGUUUUCUCAGCGUCUCUCUAAAGAACUCUUUAGAAGUUGAAAUCUCAGUUCCAAUCUGCUUUUCCAGGGUUUCAGCACAUCAAGCAAUCUAACAUGCUCACCACACACGCCUGCUGCCAGGAGAACACUUCUGAAAGAGCAGUCCUCAGGAGUUAACCGAGGAUUGUUGUGAUGGAAAGAGAUUGCACUCUUCAGUCUUCUGCCAGUUUUUUUUUUUUUUUUUUUUCUGUCCCACUGCAACUUUUAGAGUUUGCCCUGGGACAGAGAAGAAGAAAGACCCAUUACCCACACUGCACUGAACCACAGGUCUGUGCUACUGUAGUGCUGGCUCCUCCCGUCUCUCUUAUGGUUAAUUUAUAUGAUUAAAAAAUUCCUCCCAGAUAAGACUUUAAGCUUCUCAUUCCUCACAGACUCUUAUUAAAGUGCAACACUACAGGGACUUUCUGAACUGCACUUUUUAUGAAUCAAAUAAUGCACUCAAACGCACAGAGUAUACAAACUUGGAUAGACUUUAUAUUUCACUGAUAGAGGUUUGAUGAGAUUACAACACAAACAAACCUGCCGUUACUCUAUUAAUAUGCAGGCAUCACAUCAGCCCCUCUACCUGCAACAGCAACAGAAUAAAAGUCCCUGAGAUCUAAAGUUAACAGAAGCUUCUCCACGCGAGAAGAAAAAAGUGGUGGUUGCCAAGAAAAACUAUUCUUAUCCUCGAUUGGGAGAUUUAGAGGCCUAUCAGGCUGUCAUCACUCAGGCACAAUAAUUGUACAGCCUAAUUACUAUAACUUGAAUCACAUCCUGGAUCCUGUUAUCUUAUCUUGGCUUGACUGGUGCUGCACAGUUAGAAGCUUUUGUCUGUCGUGACAACUACUAUCAUUACAACUCUCCUGUCUGUGCGCUUAAAGCUGAAUGCCGACUGGAGUUUUAGCCAACAACAAGCUGCAUCCAGGUUCAUGUCGGUACCUCUUAUUAUGACAUGCUGGUGGUACGGCAACAGGCAAAUAUAUAUUGAACUUUAACUAUUUAUUUAAUGUGAUACCUUCUGUUUAUAUAAGCAUGCAGCCCAAAGAACUACACAACAAAGAGGGGAAAUAAAGAGAAAAUUUGUCUGCAACAGUGGAAAAAAUAAAACAAACAAAUAAAAGGUAAUAAAAUAAUUGAAAUGAAAUCAUAACUUGAAUUAAUUACUUCAAAGUAAAAUAAUAAACAGAAGUCAGUAAAUUUAAUUAGAAUAUGUAAAAGUUGAACAAUAGAACAAAAUACCAAAAAUACAGUGAAAUCAAAAAAGACUUUGACCAAAAUUAUGAAAUCACUGCAAAUUUAAUGUUUCAUGUACUUUGAACAUUUUCCACCAAUUAGAUAUAAGAACUGAAGAGAGCCAGGAAACAUGGGGGGCAGAGAGUAAUGGAGAAGCUACAAACGGUCUUGGUCGAUUUCACACCAUGCACCAGUAAAAUCAUCCACUUGCUUAAUUUGUGCGCAUCUGGACAAGUGAAUGUUUAUUUACUCCUUUCUUCAUGGGAAUGACUCAAUUCACAUGUUUGUAUCCCAUCUGCAGAGAGCCCAAACACACCUGUGAUUAUGGGAGGAAAGUGAAAGAAAGGAGGGGUCCCUGCGAGGUUAGUCUCUUUACAUCAAAUAUAGCAGAGGUUGACCACACCGUGAAUAUCUGUUGAGUUUUAAUAACUUAUAACCAGACCUCCACACUCACUCUCCUCCAGCUGGGCUCUUUUUAACUCCUGUUUUGGCCACAUACAAUAAAUCCUCCAUUUUCCACAUAAAUGAAACUCUGCUGGUCGUUUGUUGACAUACGUCACCAGGGUAUCUCCAUGCUGAUUGGUUAUCGUGGGGCAAACAUUCACUUAAAAAAAGAACAAAACUAAUUUUUCUGUUUCGUGAUUUAUUGAUGCUGGAGGCUCAGCCUGAGGUUUGGUCACUAAAGCCAUCUAUCUUUGCCCCGAUCUGCUGGAUUCAUUCACUGAGCAGCAAUGAAUGAAUCCAGACCAAAACCCAGCAGUGGACAAAAAGUAGAGAAACUGUUUCAGGAAGAUGUCUUUUUUUCUUUUCUUUUCUUUUUUUUUUAUAAUUCCAGUCAAAAGUCAAUAAACUCAUGAGUCAAGUUAACAUCCCCAUACAACAUUUUGUCUAUAUUAUUAGGGGUUAUCCAGUUGAACCUCGCCUCUCUCCACAUACCAGUGGAAUUGCUGUCUCCUACACACUGAGGGAGGAUACACUAAUUAUACUGAAAAGGUGAGACAGAGUGGUGGAAGUCUUGUGUAUUCACUUCAUAUAAUUUAGUACAUAACUUCUGUCAGUAUUUGACCUUUUUGUGUUCUAACUUGAGUUUCUGAGCUACUAUCCUUUCAGACAAACUCUCCCGGUUGCCUGUACAGUGUGAGAAGUUCACAGGGAAGAUUGAAGCAGACUAUUGUUCUCCAUUGACCAUAUCUCAAUCUCCAUCUGCCCCUGAAAGGCUGAAGCUCGAGGGAAACUAUGGGGACAAUUUCAGUCCCAUUCUCUGCUGUGAGUCUCUGACACCGAGGCCAGAAAAGAGUGCUGGAGAGAGCAGCAGAGAUUAUUUGCUCAUGGUAAUGAUGCUCUGAGAGAGAAGAUGAAGGGGGUCCCAGACUCUUCUUCACUGCUGAGUGUUGGUAAUGUUGAAAGCUGUCAAUACAUGAAAAGUAGCUUGCUAUUUGAUGGCACAGGAUGGCACUAUCAAGGUUGGAAGCUGUCCAGUCGGGUAUUUUUUUCACUGUGGCUGCCUGAGAUAGGAUUUUGUCAUGAUCCUUUUCUUAUUUAAAAGAAAUAAAAUGCAGUAUACUGGAAAAUAUAAGAAGUAUAAAUGACUUUUGAAAACAACUUUUAAAUGUCCUCCAUUGAAGCAAGAGCCAAUGUUAAAAAAAAGGUACAAGUUAAAAUAUUUCUUCCUUUUUUUUUUUUAAAACACCCUGAUUUUGAUGGCUUUUUUUUUUUAUACAAUUACCCUUACAGAAUUCAGGACACUGACCAAAAUUUCGACUUUACAUGGGAACAACUUUAUAAGUGUAUUCUGGCCCAAGUGAUAAUCAAAUACAAGCCUACUAGUCCUUGAGCAUAAAUGAAAGGUAACGAAACUGAAGGAGGGAAAACAGGGAUACAGUAUGUAUAGAUAUUUAUUUUUCCAAACAUAAAACACUGAGCACGCACAUGUACUGAGCCACAUUUCUCAGGUAUAUUCUUGGUUAAGAAUAGAUGAAAAAUGUCUGUUACAAAAAAACACUUUUUUUGUAACAAUGUUUUUUUACAUUGAUCUUGGCUUGGGAAAAUGUAACAUAUGGUGAUGCCACAGAUGGGUUUUCUUUGAGAAUCUUGGGCUGAUCGCAUUAAAGCCAAAAUACUGGUUUGGGACUUUUUUAGCAUAAUUCAGUGGGAUGCAAUAUUACCAGUUAAUGUUGUCAAUUUGCUUUGAUUAUAAGAUGCUUUGAUUAUAACCAUAUUUAAUAUGAAACAUUGUAUGAUAUGAGUCAAAGGAACUAGCUCCUCACAAAGGUGUGCAUAUGUGUGUAUAUGUGUGCAUAUGUAUGCACGCAGACACAAACAGUGAACAUAAUGGAGGAGUAGGCAUGCCGCCUCCUUAUGCCAAUUUUCUUCCUGUUUUUAAAAUGAGCAGCUGAUUGAAAUGCAAAGUGGCACCUGAAAAUGUACAGGGUUUCAGUUAAGAACUGAGUUUAUUUACUUGAAUCUUAGGUACAGAGAGGAAAGGAGAUAUGUAGAAAGAGAGAGAGAAAGAAUAAAAAAAGGGGGAGGUGGGUAGACAUGAAGACAAUUUCAGGAAACGGGAUUAUUGAGAGAUGGGAAAAUAAGCCUUCAUUAGAGUUACAUUAGGUCUUCAUUGUUUCUCAUUUAUCAGAAUUAGCUGAACAUCCAGAAAAUAUGCAGAUUGGUUUCGAUGCCAAUACAGCAACAGAUGAUUAUCUUCUUCUUCAGCAGUGGCACAGGUCCAGGUCUUUUCUGGGGUCGGCUUUUAGGAAAUAGGAGACAGGCACAAUAAGUUCGACAGAAAAUGAUUCUGUGCAAUAAAAGAGCAAAUCAGACACUCAAAGAAAGUUUGCUUUUCUUUGACAAAAAUAAACACUGCUGGCUUGUGUAGUAUUCAUUAGCACUAGAAUACUUGGUGGAAAAAUGUGGCUUUCUGCUUGAAAUGUAAAGUAGCUUGUAAAAUGGUGAUAUCACUAAAACUCUCUGUUUGUCGAUGUUAAAUUCCUCUAAAAUCAAGAUUGGCCACAGGGGAUUACAAGAAAGUUCCGAGAACCAUAAAUCCGGCUCUUUGUGACUGGAACAAUGUUCAUGUCAAAUUGUCGCUUUUGCUCUCCUCACAUUAUAGGGUUAAAACUAUUAAAUCUGUCUUUAUUUAUUCAUCUGUUGGUGCUCACAUAUUCAACAGCGGUUAAGAUUUGAGAAACCUGUUUGUGUGGGCCAGCCUUCAUUGAAAGGGUUUGUGGGUGGAGCAGAUAUAGAGCCCCACC